rnacentral:rRNA from 1 species
CUUGCUCCAAAAAGAUGAAUAAUUCAACAUCGAGGUCAUAAUCUUCUCCUUUUAUAAGGACUUAAAGAAGAAAUUGUGCUGUUAUCCCUACGGUAGCUUGGUUGAUUCUCAAUUUGAGGAUAGAGUAAGAAAGGGGAUAAAGAUUUGGUUUUUUACCGCCCCAGUUAAACAGAAGUAAAGUUCGAUAGGGUCUUGUCGUCCUUCUAAUUCAUACAAGUUUUUUUACUUGAAUGAAAAGUUAGAGUAAUUAGGGUGAUAAAGAAGUUUAUAUGUCAGACCUUUCAUUCUAGCCUCUAAUUAAAAGGCAAAUGAUUAUGCUACCUUAGCACAAUAAAAUUGCGGCUAUUGAAAAAAAAUCAUUGAGCAGGUCCUACUGAAUAUAAAAUCAUUCAGAA